AUAUAAAUAAGCCUGGAGGUUGAGAGUGGUGUGAUGCCGUUGUUCGUCUCUCCACCGCCUCAUCCUUUUCGCCUUGAAACCCUCUGGAUGAAUCAAGGAGAAGAAGGGAUCACGAUCAAGAAGCGGCGAUUCCGCUUGAUCUCUGCAUCCCGCCCCGACUCCGGUGUUCGGAAAGAACUCUGCGGGAGUUGAGGUUGAAGACGACCACGAACAGAUGGCAGAAGAGCCGGUGUCGAAGAAAGCGAAAAGGAACUGAUCGAAUUUCUUGGAGGCGGCGGUGUCAUCGGCGGAUGAAAUAGGUAACCGACCGGGCCAAUGGCUUGAAAGCCGACGAAAAUGGGAACACCAGGCAGUCGGAGAUCGACGAGAACUUGCAUGGCCCAGAUCCAGCAGUAUAUGGUAGGGAGAGGAACCAUCGCCCCCUUGCAUCCAACGAUUUCAUCUCUUGGGCUUCAGGGUCCAGGCGCGAAUAUAGAUGGGUAAGCGACAUGAUUCUCUGCUGCCAUUGUCGGUGAUGCUGGUGUUGCUCUUCAUCGUGCCACAAUGCUGCAACUGUGUGCCUAGAAGCUGCCUCCAGGAUCUUAUUUGAAUCCAGUUCAGUUGGAAAAGGUUAGUUUCUAUUUCCUUCUGUAAAUGCUCAAAUAUUAGCAUCCUGUUUGUUGCAUUUCAUUUGACUACUAUUGUAUGGGAAGUAAGGAUAUUUUCUAUGGAGUGUAUAAUUGUCCUUUGGGUCUUUUUGAUGCUAUGGUCAUUGUUUUUUUUGGCUUGGUCAACUAAACCCAAUUUGUAUUUCCCAAAGCCAAACUGUAACAGACCAAGUUUCUUGGCCGUGGGUUAAUUUUGCCCAUGAUCUCCGUUGUGAGUUUGCCAAAUUUGCUAAAGUCACUCGAUGUCUAUUGAUUUUAUGCUGUAUUUGUUAGUUCAGAACUAUUUUGAUUGAUCUUGAUCUAUUUAUUUCUCUAUUGGAAGCUUUGUCGGCUGAAGUAGUUAGUAGAUGUGGGCUAAUUUUUGUUUCAGAUCAUUGGAUCAGACCAGAAUCGUGCCUUCUUGAACCAUUCGGUCUUUCAUAGAAUCGUGCAACGAUCAUUGUCUUUCUUCAAUAACAAGUCAAGGUUGAGAUUCCGUGAGUGUUCGUUCUCAUUUAUAAUCAGCUAGCUUUUGAAGGCCUUUAGCCUCGGUGUUCUUGUGCAUCUGAAUUUUCCGGUUUCUACAUUAUUUUGCUAAAUCAAAAUU